rnacentral:lncRNA from 1 species
AGCCAAAUACUGUUUACAUUGGUCAUCGAAUUACGACGCAUGCCUGUUUUGUGACUCCGCUUGGCUGGAUGUGUCUGUCUUGUAGUGUAGGUGAUGGACUUAUUUUGGACCAAUAACACAAUUUGAAGUUUAAAUGGUGUUGAGGUUUAAACUAAACUACAAUUAUAAUGCAAGAUUUUGCACCUAUGUGUUAUAUUACUCAUUACUGGUCACCUGAGACUUAUCGAUAAGUUCGAGCCUCUCUCUCUGUGCAGUUCUGAUUUCUUAGUCAGUCCUCUUCUCACUUGUAAGCACGAUGUCAUUAAGCUCUAUUUUGAUAUAUACUCUGUAUUAAUGAACGAGGCGUUACUUUAGUUAAUCCCUAAUCCCUUAACAAUUGGAAUGGUUUCUUGGAACUGAAUUUUGUAUCGGAGGUUGAAAUGGUUUUAAGCGACUGACGUGAAUUAUUUCACUGGAAAGUUUGUGACGCAUCGGGAGGUGAAAUACGUAAUUUAAAUGUUACAUCCCACUUUUGAAAAAUGUUGUCUGUCAAGUAUAUCUCGGAGGAGGAUCUCAUAUGGGCUUGACGGGGUCGCUACUGCUUCUUGUAAUCUGCAAUUUUUUAUGACGGUAUAAGGGCCUUUGUAAAUUGGGGAUAAUUUAGAACUAGAUUUGGUGAGAGUGACUUAAAUUUGAUUUCCUGCGGAUAAAAUUACAGACAUGGGCGGACAUGAAAUCUCGAGUAAAAUUAAAAGCAGGGGAAAUACAGCAAGCCCAAAGAACUGGAACGGAGGUUGCACUUCAAGGAUCAUCUGGUCAAGCGGCUCACCUGAAUGAAACCGAAGAAGCAAUCUAUGGUCUCCUAGGUGGAACUGAUUGGAUUGGAGCAACUGAAAAUGGAAUGGGGACACACUUCGUCAGCGUAAGCAAUCUCACUGACGAGCAGUCUCCCACCUCAUCCCUAGACCUCAUGGAUGAUGAAGGAGCUGUGCACCUACCUCGUGUCGACUUUGUCUCAAGACUGGAAACAAACCCAGUCAAGAUUAAUCGUUUCAUCCUCCCGGCAUAUCACAAUCAAACAGGAGAUAGCAAAAACCAAAUGCCCCUCACCAUCACAUAUGAGCAGUUCCAUAGUCAGUCAACAAAAGAAAGCUCCUCUUCCUCAUCAAGGCCACCUUCAGCACCUGCAAGGCUUAUGGAACCAGCAAAGAACGGCUCUUUCUGUUUUACAUCACAAUCUGGCCAAGCGCAGUUUUUUCAGCUGCCACCCUCUACAAGUUCCACACAUUCACCUACUCUCUCUCCGCAAAUGCCAUCAUUUAAUUAUGGUCCUCAACUCCAUCAUAUAGUAGUAUGUAUCAUCUAA